CGUAGGAUGCAAGCGUUGUUCGGAAUUACUGGGCGUAAAGAGUACGUAGGCGGUAUGGUAAGUCUGAUAUUAAAGACUGAGGCUUAACUUCAGGAGUGUAUCGGAAACUGCCAGACUAGAGGACAAUAGAGGAAGUCGGAAUUCUCAGUGUAGCGGUGAAAUGCGUAGAUAUAGGGAAGAACACCAGUGGCGAAAGCGGACUUCUGGGUUGUUACUGACGCUGAGGUACGAAAGCGUGGGGAGCAAACGGGAUUAGAUACCCCGGUAGUCCACGCUGUAAACGAUGGAUACUAGGUGUAGCCGGUCUCGACCCCGGCUGUGCCGUAGCUAACGCAAUAAGUAUCCCGCCUGGGGAGUAUGGCCGCAAGGUUG
rnacentral:rRNA from 1 species